rnacentral:rRNA from 1 species
GGAAGUAAAAGUCGUAACAAGGUUUCCGUAGGUGAACCUGCGGAAGGAUCAUUAUUGGAUGAGAUGAGCAUUUGGUUCUGCAGCUGGCAUCUUCUUGGGCAUGUGCUCGCCAUUGUCAUCUUUAUCUCUCCACCUUGUGCACCUCUUGUAGACCUGGACGGAUAAAACUUUUUACUUUCUUCUCAGAGGGCAACCUCUGGUCUUGAGGAUGUGCAUCUCCUUUGUUGGGGUGCUCUCCUUGUUUAAAAGAAAAAAAAAGUGGCCCGGGCCAAUGCCAACCCCCCCCCCCUUUGAAGGAAACAAAAGGAACCAAUGGCCUUUUGGGCCAAUAAAAACUGGUACAAUUUUCACCAAGGGACCCCUGGCUUCCCGCUUCGUGAAAAAAGGAGGCAAAAGGGGAAAAUUAAGGUGAUUUGAGAAAUUAGUUGAACCACCAAUCCUUUGACGCAACUUUGCCUCCUUGGUUUUCCCGGGGGCAUGGCUGUUUGAGUGGCAUUUUAAUUUUCAAACCAGCUGGGUGCUCCUUCCUCCCAGUUUGCUUUGAUGUGGGGGUUUCUUUUGCUGGCUUAUCAUACGAGUCUGCUCCCCUGAAAUGCAUUGGCUGGUGUCUUUCUUUUGCCUGUCUACUGGUGUGAUAACUUUCUGCGCCAUAGAGUGAAUAUUCAAAAGCACUGCUUCCAACCGUCCUUUUGGACAGCAAAUGACAAUUUUGACCUCAAAUCAGGUAGGACUACCCGCUGAACUUAAGCAUAUCAUAAGCGGAGGAAU